rnacentral:rRNA from 1 species
AAAACCUUACCCACCUUUGACAUGUACGGAAUCCUUUAGAGAUAGAGGAGUGCUCGAAAGAGAGCCGUAACACAGGUGCUGCAUGGCUGUCGUCAGCUCGUGUCGUGAGAUGUUGGGUUAAGUCCCGCAACGAGCGCAACCCUUGCCAUUAGUUGCUACGAAAGGGCACUCUAAUGGGACUGCCGGUGACAAACCGGAGGAAGGUGGGGAUGACGUCAAGUCCUCAUGGCCCUUAUAGGUGGGGCUACACACGUCAUACAAUGGCUGGUACAAAGGGUUGCCAACCCGCGAGGGGGAGCUAAUCCCAUAAAGCCAGUCGUAGUCCGGAUCGCAGUCUGCAACUCGACUGCGUGAAGUCGGAAUCGCUAGUAAUCGUGGAUCAGAAUGUCACGGUGAAUACGUUCCCGGGUCUUGUACACACCGCCCGUCACACCAUGGGAGCGGGUCUCGU